GAUGAACGCUGGCGGCGUGCUUAACACAUGCAAGUCGAACGAUGAAGCCCAGCUUUCUGGGUGGAUUAGUGGCGAACGGGUGAGUAACACGUGAGUAACCUGCCCUUAACUCUGGGAUAAGCCUGGGAAACUGGGUCUAAUACCGGAUAGGAGCGUCCACCGCAUGGUGGGUGUUGGAAAGAUUUAUCGGUUUUGGAUGGACUCGCGGCCUAUCAGCUUGUUGGUGAGCUAAUGGCUCACUAAGGCGGCGACGGGUAGCCGGCAUGAGAGGGUGACCGGCCACACUGGGACUGAGACACGGCCCAGAAUCCUACGGGACGCAGCGGUGGGGAAUAUUGCGCAAUAGGCGCAAGCCUGAUGCAGAGACGCCGCGUGCGGGAUGACGGCCUUCGGGUUGUGAACCUCUUUCAGUAGGGAAGAAGCGAACGUGACGGUACCUGCAGAAGAAGCACCGGCUAACUACGUG
rnacentral:rRNA from 1 species